rnacentral:rRNA from 1 species
GAAUGCUGACAUAAGUAACGAUAAAGCGGGUGAAAAGCCCGCUCGCCGGAAGACCAAGGGUUCCUGUCCAACGUUAAUCGGGGCAGGGUGAGUCGACCCCUAAGGCGAGGCCGAAAGGCGUAGUCGAUGGGAAACAGGUUAAUAUUCCUGUACUUGGUGUUACUGCGAAGGGGGGACGGAGAAGGCUAUGUUAGCCGGGCGACGGUUGUCCCGGUUUAAGCAUGUAG